rnacentral:rRNA from 1 species
UGAGGAAUACAUCGGAAUCUACUUUUUCGUGGGGGAUAACGUAGGGAAACUUACGCUAAUACCGCAUACGACCUUCGGGUGAAAGCAGGGGACCUUCGGGCCUUGCGCGAUUGAAUGAGCCGAUGUCGGAUUAGCUAGUUGGCGGGGUAAAGGCCCACCAAGGCGACGAUCCGUAGCUGGUCUGAGAGGAUGAUCAGCCACACUGGAACUGAGACACGGUCCAGACUCCUACGGGAGGCAGCAGUGGGGAAUAUUGGACAAUGGGCGCAAGCCUGAUCCAGCCAUACCGCGUGGGUGAAGAAGGCCUUCGGGUUGUAAAGCCCUUUUGUUGGGAAAGAAAAGCAGCAGGCUAAUACCCCGCUGUUCUGACGGUACCCAAAGAAUAAGCACCGGCUAACUUCGUGCCAGCAGCCGCGGUAAUACGAAGGGUGCAAGCGUUACUCGGAAUUACUGGGCGUAAAGCGUGCGUAGGUGGUUGUUUAAGUCUGUUGUGAAAGCCCUGGGCUCAACCUGGGAACUGCAGUGGAAACUGGAUGACUAGAGUGUGGUAGAGGGUAGCGGAAUUCCCGGUGUAGCAGUGAAAUGCGUAGAGAUCGGGAGGAACAUCCAUGGCGAAGGCAGCUACCUGGACCAACACUGACACUGAGGCACGAAAGCGUGGGGAGCAAACAGGA